GGUGUUCGUCCUGAGAGUAAAGUAAGAGGUUACUUCAUUUUCCAUACACUGGAGAUUCCUCGCGCGCCAAAUCCACCACACUGCAGCUAGAAACAGAAAACUAGAGGGACCAUCUAUGCCAUUGUGCAGCCAUCCAUACAAAUUAUCACCCUAGAAGAAUGUCUGGUCCACAAAACCGAUAGCUUUCCAGAAACACUUUAUGAACUCACAAUUUCUUAAACAGUGUAAGGUUGUCUCUUCGUCAAUGUUGCAUCUAGN
rnacentral:lncRNA from 1 species